rfam:Coprinopsis cinerea okayama7#130 chromosome 4 cont3.4, whole genome shotgun sequence.
GGCGGGCUAGCGUAAUGGUUAACGCGCCAGUUUCCGGUGGACUUCCCACUUAGCUGGAGAUUCUGGGUUCGAGUCCCAGGUUCGUCG